GCCCGGGUGGUGGAAUUGGCAGACACACCAGCUUGAGGGGCUGGCGCCUGUAAUGGGUGUGCAGGUUCAAAUCCUGUCCCGGGCAC
rnacentral:tRNA from 1 species